rnacentral:rRNA from 1 species
CCGCUAUUGGAGUUCGAUUAAGCCAUGCGAGUCGAGAGUCUUAGGGACUCGGCGUACCGCUCAGUAACACGUGGGUAACCUGCCCUAUGCUGGGGAAUAACCUCGGGAAACUGAGAAUAAUGCCCCAUAGUCCACAAUGCCUGGAACGGUUUGUGGAUCAAAGCUCCGGCGGCAUAGGAUGGGCCUGCGGCGCAUCAGGUUGUAGGGGGUGUAACGUACCCUCUAGCCAUCAACGCGUACGGGUGUUGGGAGACAUAGCCCGGAGAUGGAUUCUGAGACACGAAUCCAGACCCUACGGGGUGCAGCAGGCGCGAAAACUUGGCAAUGCGAGAAAUCGUGACCAGGGAACUCCAAGUGGCUGGGGUAAGACCCAGUCUUUUCUUGACUCUUCAAAGGUCUUGGAAUAAGGGGUGGGUAAGGACGGUGCCAGCCGCCGCGGUAAUACCGGCGCCUCAAGUGGUAGUCGAUUUUAUUGGGCCUAAAACGUCCGUAGCCUGUUUGGUACAUUCGUGGGUAAAUCAACCAGCUCAACUGGUUGAAUUCUGCGAGCACGGCCAGACUUGGGACCGGGAGAGGUGUGGGGUACGCUCAGGGUAGGGGUAAAAUCCUGUCAUCCUGAGCGGACCACCUGUUGCGAAGGCGCCACACUAGAACGGAUCCGACGGUCAGGGACGAAGCCUAGGGGCACGAACCGGAUUAGAUACCCGGGUAGUCCUAGGUGUAAACGCUGUGGACUUGGUGUUGGGGACUCUCCGAGAUUCCUCAGUGCCGAAGCGAAGGUGAUAAGUCCACUGCCUGGGGAGUACGGUCGCAAGGCUGAAACUUAAAGGAAUUGGCGGGGGAGCACCGCAACCUGAGGAUUGUGCGG